GCCCGGUUGGCUCAGUCGGUAGAGCGUGUGACUCUUAAGGUGGCGUUGGCCACUGGCAGGUAUCUCGGUCGCGAGUUCGAGCCUCGCAUCGGGCU